rnacentral:rRNA from 1 species
CACGCCGUAAACGAUGGAUACUAGGUGUGGGGGAUACCAAUCCUCCGUGCCGUCGUUAACACACUAAGUAUCCCGCCUGGGGAGUACGAUCGCAAGAUUAAAACUCAAAGGAAUUGACGGGGGCCCGCACAAGCAGCGGAGCAUGUGGUUUAAUUCGAAGCAACGCGAAGAACCUUACCUAGACUUGACAUCUCCUGAAUUACCUGUAAUUAGGGAAGCCCUUCGGGGCAGGAAGACAGGUGG